rnacentral:rRNA from 1 species
CUCCGGGUUGAUCCCGCCGGACCCGACUGCUAUCAGAGUGGGACUAAGCCAUGCGAGUCAACGCAGCAAUGCGUGGCAUACGGCUCAGUAACACGUAGUCAACAUGCCCAGGGGACGUGGAUAACCUCGGGAAACUGAGGAUAAACCGCGAUAGGCCAAGAUUUCUGGAAUGGAUAAUGGCUGAAAUCUAUAUGGCCCCUGGAUUGGACUGCGGCCGAUCAGGCUGUUGGUGAGGUAAUGGCCCACCAAACCUGUAACCGGUACGGGCUCUGAGAGGAGGAGCCCGGAGAUGGGCACUGAGACAAGGGCCCAGGCCCUAUGGGGCGCAGCAGGCGCGAAACCUCUGCAAUAGGCGAAAGCCUGACAGGGUUACUCUGAGUGAUUUCCGUUAAGGAGAUCUUUUGGCACCUCUAAAAAUGGUGCAGAAUAAGGGGUGGGCAAGUCUGGUGUCAGCCGCCGCGGUAAUACCAGCACCCCGAGUGGUCGGGACGUUUAUUGGGCCUAAAGCAUCCGUAGCCGGUUCUACAAGUCUUCCGUUAAAUCCACCUGCUUAACAGAUGGGCUGCGGAAGAUACUAUAGAGCUAGGAGGCGGGAGAGGCAAGCGGUACUCGAUGGGUAGGGGUAAAAUCCGUUGAUCCAUUGAAGACCACCAGUGGCGAAGGCGGCUUGCCAGAACGCGCUCGACGGUGAGGGAUGAAAGCUGGGGGAGCAAACCGGAUUAGAUACCCGGGUAGUCCCAGCUGUAAACGAUGCAGACUCGGUGAUGAGUUGGCUUAUUGCUAACUCAGUGCCGCAGGGAAGCCGUUAAGUUUGCCGCCUGGGGAGUACGGUCGCAAGACUGAAACUUAAAGGAAUUGGCGGGGGAGCA